AACGUACGCUGGCGGCACGCCUAACACAUGCAAGUCGAACGAAGUAGCAAUACUUAGUGGCAGACGGGUGAGUAACAUGUAGGUAUCUGCCCUUUGGCCUGGAAUAACACGAGGAAACUUGUGCUAAUACCGGAUAAGUCUUUACGGAGAAAGCUUUAUGCACCAUUGGAUGAGCCUGCACUUGAUUAGUUUGUUGGUGGGGUAAUGGCCUACCAAGACUGUGAUCAAUAGCUGAUUUGAGAGGAUGAUCAGCCACAUUGGGACUGAGACACGGCCCAAACUCCUACGGGAGGCAGCAGUGGGGAAUCUUGCACAAUGGAGGAAACUCUGAUGCAGCGAUGCCGCGUGAGUGAAGAAGGCCCUUGGGUUGUAAAGCUCUUUCGUCGGGGAAGAAAAUGACUGUACCCGAAUAAGAAGGUCCGGCUAACUUCGUGCCAGCAGCCGCGGUAAUACGAAGGGACCUAGCGUAGUUCGGAAUUACUGGGCUUAAAGAGUUCGUAGGUGGUUGAAAAAGUUAGUGGUGAAAUCCCAGAGCUUAACUCUGGAACUGCCAUUAAAACUUUUCAGCUAGAGUAUGAUAGAGGAAAGCAGAAUUUCUAGUGUAGAGGUGAAAUUCGUAGAUAUUAGAAAGAAUACCAAUUGCGAAGGCAGCUUUCUGGAUCAUUACUGACACUGAGGAACGAAAGCAUGGGUAGCGAAGAGGAUUAGAUACCCUCGUAGUCCAUGCCGUAAACGAUGUGUGUUAGACGUUGGAAAUUUAUUUUCAGUGUCGCAGGGAAACCGAUAAACACACCGCCUGGGGAGUACGACCGCAAGGUUAAAACUCAAAUGAAUUGACGGGGACCCGCACAAGUAGUGGAGCAUGUGGUUUAAUUCGAAGAUACGCGCAGAACCUUACCAACACUUGACAUGUUCGUCGCGACUCUAAGAGAUUAGAGUUUUCGGUUCGGCCGGACGAAACACAGGUGCUGCAUGGCUGUCGUCAGCUCGUGUCGUGAGAUGUUGGGUUAAGUCCCGCAACGAGCGCAACCCUCACUUUUAGUUGCCAUCAUUAAGUUGGGCACUCUGAAAGAACUGCCAGUGAUAAGCUGGAGGAAGGUGGGGAUGACGUCAAGUCCUCAUGGCCCUUACGUGUUGGGCUACACACGUGCUACAAUGGUAUCUACAACAGGAAACAAGACUGCGAAGUUAAGCAAAUCCCUAAAAGAUACCUCAGUUCGGAUUGCACUCUGCAACUCGAGUGCAUGAAGCUGGAAUUACUAGUAAUCGUGGAUCAGCGUGCCACGGUGAAUGCGUUCCCGGGUCU
rnacentral:rRNA from 1 species